GACGAACGCUGGCGGCGUGCUUAACACAUGCAAGUCGAACGGAAAGGCCCUGCUUUUGUGGGGUGCUCGAGUGGCGAACGGGUGAGUAACACGUGAGUAACCUGCCCUUGACUUUGGGAUAACUUCAGGAAACUGGGGCUAAUACCGGAUAGGAGCUCCUGCUGCAUGGUGGGGGUUGGAAAGUUUCGGCGGUUGGGGAUGGACUCGCGGCUUAUCAGCUUGUUGGUGGGGUAGUGGCUUACCAAGGCUUUGACGGGUAGCCGGCCUGAGAGGGUGACCGGCCACAUUGGGACUGUGGUACGGCCCAGCCUCCUCCGGGACGCAGCAGUGGGGAAUAUUGCACGAUGGGCGGAAGCCAGAUACAGCAACGCCGCGUGCGGGAUGACGGCCUUCGGGUUGUACACCGCUUUCGCCUGUGACGAAGCGUGAGUGACGGUAAUGGGUAAAGAAGCACCGGCUAACUACGUG
rnacentral:rRNA from 1 species